rnacentral:misc_RNA from 1 species
GAGAAGAACGUAGCGAAAUGCGAUAAGUAAUGUGAAUUGCAGAAUUCAGUGAAUCAUCGAGUUUUUGAACGCAUAUUGCGCCCUCUGGUAUUCCGGGGGGCAUGCCUGUUCGAGCGUCAUUAAAUAACCCUCAAGCAUAGCUUGGUGUUGGGCUUUUUUACGUCCUUGACUGGGAUGGGCCUAAAAAUUAGUGGCGAUGGCUUUUUUACUUUCAAGCGUAGUAAAUCUCGUCUUGCUAAAGAGGAAAAAGAUUUUUUUUCUGCCAAAAAUUUUAACAUUUAAAGUUGACCUCGGAUCAGGUAGGAUUACCCGCUGAACUUAAGCAUAUCAAUAAGCGGAGGA